CUGCAGCUUAUUAAGCCGACCGGGCCGCUGCCGUGCGGCUCCGGUGUGCAGAAGCUGCAGACAGCGACUCUCUGGUUGUGUAUGUCCUCAGCUGGGCGGUGCUGAGUGCUUUAAGGGACCAUUGAGACAAAG
ensembl:snoRNA SNORA70 Small nucleolar RNA SNORA70